GUCUGCCACCGGCGUCCCCGUCCGCCUCAAGGCGGCGGCUCCGCUCGGCCUCGCGCCGCGGCCGCUGCCUGGUUACCAAAAAGCGGGGCGCGUUGCCACAAGGUCACGCCGCAGCGCAGCAGUUUGCGCCGUGACCUUGCUUCGGCCCGGCUCUCCACGAGCCCGUCCGGGCUUGCCUGGCAGAGACACUGGCCGUCCUUCCCCAGCUCACCUUAGGGGCGAGGAAACUGAGGCAAGCUGGGGCGCACGGCCCGGCUGAGUCUGAAGCUGAGGGACUUGCGGUGCUGCCCCGGGGGCACAGAAGCCCUUGAACUUCCCGUGUCCUCCCCCGGAAAAUACCGGGGCUAGGGAUGCUGAGGACCCUUCCGGCUGGAACGUUCCGCGCCGUCCCCGCCCCUGGGGAGGCCCCUCGAGGAACAACUAUUUUAAUCCCCAACUACAAUGGAGAAACCGAGGCUCAGACGCUAGCCCAAAGCCACAGAGCAGCGCCGCCAGGGUGAGCGCCCAGGACUACUGCGCACACCCUUGGGGCAAUCACUUGCUUUCCUCACCUCCUGGGCCGUGUGAGGAUUAAAAGAGAGCUGCAAAGUG